ACUACGAGGACAUAGCUGGGGAUUUUCGCACCACGACGAUUCGGUGAGUUCCCUAGUUGACUCGAGCUGGUGUUGCCGAUUCUAUUUUAGCUUCCAAAGUGUCAAUUUUUGCCUCAAUAGCUCUUGGUGCCGAGAUGGCACAAUCGAAGACGUUGGUUCCUCCAGUGGACAACGAUACAUCUGUGAUUUGCUAUUGUGGCCUGAAAGCUCCUUUGCGAACAGCAAGGACGAAGGACAACCGGGGAAGAUGGUACCAUGGCUACCCAAGAUACAAUCACAAUAAUAAAGGGGAAAGUUGUAGUUUUUUUAUUUGGAUUGAUGGGGAAAUCAAUCAAUUGUUAAGUAGUGUGUCCAGAAGUUUUCAGCAGAGCAAUGCCAAACAAGAACCAAUAUCGACCCAUGAUGAGGAUGAGGGUUAUUCAAUAGUCGUUGAGGUCAAAGCUCUCAAGGUACAAUUGAAACAAAUGAAACAAGAAUCGGCAUACCUGAAGAAAGAAAAUUGUAGAUUGAAGAUAAUUGUGGUUGUAUUGUUGUUAUUUAUAGUAAUAACACAAUUUAUGAUUUUAGAGUAAAGGAUCAUGAACAUAUUUUGUAUGUAUGUGCUCUCUGUUAGUGGGCUGAAUGAAGUGAAUGUUGUUUUAUCUUG